rnacentral:tRNA from 2 species
UGGGUUUCGAUCGUAUCUAAGAUCCUAUUUUAUCUGGGUUGCCCGGGUUCGAGUCCCGGGCAACCCAUACGGAAA